rnacentral:rRNA from 1 species
UGGGGAAUAUUGGACAAUGGGCGGAAGCCUGAUCCAGCCAUGCCGCGUGUGUGAAGAAGGCCUUUUGGUUGUAAAGCACUUUAAGCGAGGAGGAGGCUACUUGGAUUAAUACUCUAGGAUAGUGGACGUUACUCGCAGAAUAAGCACCGGCUAACUCUGUGCCAGCAGCCGCGGUAAUACAGAGGGUGCGAGCGUUAAUCGGAUUUACUGGGCGUAAAGCGUGCGUAGGCGGCUUUUUAAGUCGGAUGUGAAAUCCCUGAGCUUAACUUAGGGAUUGCAUUCGAUACUGGGAAGCUAGAGUAUGGGAGAGGAUGGUAGAAUUCCAGGUGUAGCGGUGGAAAGCGUCGAGAUCUGGAGGAAUACCGAUGGCGAAGGCAGCCAUCUGGCCGAAUACUGACGCUGAGGUACGAAAGCAUGGGGAGCAAACAGG